GUGGGGAAUUGUUCGCAAUGGGCGCAAGCCUGACGACGCAACGCCGCGUGGAGGAUGAAGACCUUCGGGUCGUAAACUCCUUUCGAUCGAGACGAACGGCUCCCGGACGAAUAAUUCGGGAGAGUGACGGUACCGAGAGAAGAAGCCCCGGCUAACUCCGUGCCAGCAGCCGCGGUAAUACGGGGGGGGCAAGCGUUGUUCGGAAUUACUGGGCGUAAAGGGCUCGUAGGCUGCCAACUAAGUCAGACGUGAAAUCCCUCGGCUUAACCGGGGAACUGCGUCUGAUACUGGAUGGCUUGAGAUCGGGAGAGGGAUGCGGAAUUCCAGGUGUAGCGGUGAAAUGCGUAGAUAUCUGGAGGAACACCGGUGGCGAAGGCGGCAUCCUGGACCGACACUGACGCUGAGGAGCGAAAGCCAGGGGAGCAAACGGGAUUAGAUACCCCUGUAGUCC
rnacentral:rRNA from 1 species